rnacentral:rRNA from 1 species
GUGAGGCUUUCGGACUGGCCUAGGGAGAGCGGCAACGUUCACCCAGGGCCGGAAAGUUGUCCAAACUUGGUCAUUUAGAGGAAGUAAAAGUCGUAACAAGGUCUCCGUAGGUGAACCUGCGGAGGGAUCAUUACAGAGAAUCUGCCCCCUGGGUAGACCUCCCACCCUGUGUAUUUCUACCUUUGUUGCUUUGGCAGGCCGCACGGCUUCGGCCCUGCCCCUGGCUCCGGCUAGGGUGCGCCUGCCAGAGGACCCUUAAACCUGAAUAUUAGUGUCGUCCGAGUACUAUAUAAUAGUUAAAACUUUCAACAACGGAUCUCUUGGUUCUGGCAUCGAUGAAGAACGCAGCGAAAUGCGAUAAGUAAUGUGAAUUGCAGAAUUCAGUGAAUCAUCGAAUCUUUGAACGCACAUUGCGCCCCUUGGUAUUCCGGGGGGCAUGCCUGUUCGAGCGUCAUUACAACCCUCAAGCCUAGCUUGGUCUUGGGCGGCACCGGUCCCCGGUGUGCCUUAAAAUUAGUGGCGGCGCCAUCUGGCUCUACGCGUAGUACAUACUCUCGCUAUAGACGUCCGGUGGUAGCUGGCCAGCAACCCCCAACUCUUAUGGUUGACCUCGGAUCAGGUAGGGAUACCCGCUGAACUUAAGCAUAUCAUA